AAUAUUUAUUUGGCUUACACUUGCAAGUCAAGGUGCUCCAGUGAGAGAAGUCAUAGCAGGAACUCAAGAAGGAACUUGGGGCAGAAACCAUAAAAGAACACUGCCUGCUGUCUUGCUCACUCAGUCCUGCUCAGCUAGAAUCCUUAUUCAUCUUGGACUACCUGGCUUUGGAAUGUUGCUGCCCACAAUGGGCUGAUCUCUCUUAUGUCAAAUGAGAAUCAGGAAAAUCCCCAUGAGUGUUCCCUCAUGCCAAUCUGAUCUGGGUAGUAUUUGGUAAAGACUUCCUUCUCAGGUGUCCUCCUCCCUCUAAUGAGAGUGCCCUUUGUUGUCCAAGAACCAUUUUGGCUUCAUGAGCUUCCAUUUAUUAGCUGCUGGGUUUGAUGCCUGUGUUAACGGAGUCUGUUGGAAACGUCCUUUCCUGUGCCAGUCAUAUGGCUACUGAGAGGUGGUUUCAAGGCAUUAGCAUAGUCUGUCUCUGGAAACUGUACAAGACCAAGGUCGAAAACUUGCCACACAAGCCUGACAACUGAUCCCAGAACCCACAAAAAGCCAAAUGAGACUCUCUAACCUCAGCACUCUCGAUGGGAGGUGGAAGGGAGAGAGAGAGGAGUCACAGUUGGGACGGCAAGCCCGGGUACUGAGGGACAAGAAGGACCUUCCCUCCACAAGGUAAACUCUUUAAACGGAGGAUAAACAACUCAAAAUAGUUUCAGGAAGUCCCUGAAAUAGAGCAGAUUGACUAGGCCCCUCCCUUCCAGAGGAAGCAAUAAGAGCCAAGAGUUCCCCUGAGAGGAGCAGAGCCAACCUGCUAAGAAGAAUCUCAACCUAGUCAAGUUGCAAAAGAAGACUUUGAAGCAAAACCAAUUGCCUGGAAGAAGCAAAAACCCACCAAGCUGCCUGAAAAAGGUUUGGGGCAACUGAGGUACCUGGAAAGGACAUACUCCAACUGAGCUGCCUUUACGUUGUGACAUGUGUUCCGGUUCCCAGCUUUGUGAGCUGCCACCCAUGACAAGCAUCCUGAUCCAGAGACCACACCUUCCACUUGCUGCCCUGUUAUUGUGCCUUUAUGGUCCUAACCCUGUGGUACAGUUAACCGGAUCUACCCUUCCUUCUUGUUGCUUUUAGGAGCCUUGCUGACACAGACUACAACAUCACUGAAAAUUCCCACCCCAUCACUGAAAGCCUGCAUCACUAGAGUCCCCUGCACAACACCAGGCAGUCAGCUACACCACUCAACAAAGAUGUUCUCUCCUCCAGUGCUGCUCCCUGCCCACACAGCCUCAGGAAGAUGCUUGUGAGUCUUCUAAUAGUGAACUCUGGUUCCUACUUCGACCGAAGGUGAAUUCCACAUCUCUGAUCACAUCUACCAAGCUGCUGAAAACGGAGCCUUCAAACUUCUGAGUGCAAAGGAUGACUUACCUGAUGUAUAUACGGAAGACGCAUUCUCUGCCCACGCUCUGGAUGCCCCUUCCUUGUCUGGCCGUGAGCGUUAUUCUACUAAACCACACCUGUCUUCCUAGUCAACUUCCUGUCUGUGACACUCCAGUGAGCACUCCCCCCUUUCACGAGUCUUCCGUCCUCCUUCUCCCUCAGACCACAAGCUCAUUUCCAAUGGCCACCUGAAACAACCAUCUAGAUGAGUUUUAGCAGUUAUUUCCAACUUAGUCUCCAACCGAGUCCCUAUGCUUCCCUGCCCUAAAGGAAUCUGUCUCAUCUGCAGUGUUUAAAAUCUCAACACUAUGAUUUCAUUUUGCUGAAGCCAAAACCUUGGCGUAACCUUGCCUCUCCUCCUGGACAAUCUCCUUGUAAAAUCCCAGUGGCUCUAACUUCAAAGCAGAACAGAGGAUCACUUCUCUACAAAUCCGUUGCUCUCCUUCUAGCUCAAGGCAUCAGGAGUUCUUGCUUUGACCCUCCUAAUUAGUGUCCCUGCUUCUGACUUUAACUUGUCAUGGGAUAUCACAGCAGAGUGAUUUAUUUAAAGUACAAUUUUAAUAAUGUCUAUUUAAAUUUUUCCAAGGGCUUUGCAUUUGACUGGGUAAAAAAAAAAUCCUCGCUGUGGACUCUAAUAAAUAACUUGCCCCUCGUCAACACUUCACCUUUCUUUUCUCAAAUGCUUUCCUUUCCAUCCGCUUCCCAACUUCAUUUCAGCAUCAUUGGGCUGGCUCACUGUCCCCAGCACAUCAAGAACACUCUUAAUUUAGGCUCCUUUCCACGUAUAGCUCCUCCAUCUGGAACGCUCUUCUCUCAGAUAUUUAUAUGGCAUUUCCUCCCUUCUUUCAGGGUUCUCCCUGAAUAUUAUUGUACAGAGACACCCCCAUGAGCAUUCUUCCAUGUCCAGGUAAAGACGGAGAACGGAGCAAAUGCACUUCUCUCUGCACUCUCCUCAAACUCACUGAGUUGCAGUUAAUAAUACUAUCUUAUCCCCCAAACUCACAAAACCAAAGAUAAUAAGAGACAUUGAGGUCUUGAAAGAUACUUGAAAAGUCAUAAUAGAAAUACACACACACACACACACACACACACACACACACACACACACACACACACACCACUCUGGGGUUAUUCUAGCAUUUCUCAAUAUCACUUAGCCUAGGAAAGUAGAAAUAAAUAUAUUUAAUUCCUAUUCCCUUCCCCCUAGAAUAUUGUCUGUAUGUAUAUUUUCAGUCUUUUCAGGUUUCCUUGGUGCUGUGUUUCUAGGCCUUGAAAUCAUGAUAUAAUUUAAUC
rnacentral:sRNA from 1 species